rnacentral:rRNA from 1 species
AAACCCUGAAGCAGCAACGCCGCGUGGAGGAUGAAGGUUUUAGGAUUGUAAACUCCUUUUGUUAGAGAAGAUAAUGACGGUAUCUAACGAAUAAGCACCGGCUAACUCCGUGCCAGCAGCCGCGGUAAUACGGAGGGUGCAAGCGUUACUCGGAAUCACUGGGCGUAAAGAGCGCGUAGGCGGGAUAGUCAGUCAGGUGUGAAAUCCUAUGGCUUAACCAUAGAACUGCAUUUGAAACUACUAUUCUAGAGUGUGGGAGAGGUAGGUGGAAUUCUUGGUGUAGGGGUAAAAUCCGUAGAGAUCAAGAGGAAUACUCAUUGCGAAGGCGACCUGCUGGAACAUUACUGACGCUGAUUGCGCGAAAGCGUGGGGAGCAAACAGGAUUAGAUACCCUGGUAGUCCACGCCCUAAACGAUGGAUGCUAGUUGUUGGAGGGCUUAGUCUCUCCAGUAAUGCAGCUAACGCAUUAAGCAUCCCGCCUGGGGAGUACGGUCGCAAGAUUAAAACUCAAAGGAAUAGACGGGGACCCGCACAAGCGGUGGAGCAUGUGGUUUAAUUCGAAGAUACACGAAGAACCUUACCUAGGCUUGACAUUGAGAGAAUUCGCUAGAAAUAGUGGAGUGUCUGGCUUGCUAGACCUUGAAAACAGGUGCUGCACGGCUGUCGUCAGCUCGUGUCGUGAGAUGUUGGGUUAAGUCCCGCAACGAGCGCAACCCCCUUUCUUAGUUGCUAACAGGUCAUGCUGAGAACUCUAAGGAUACUGCCUCCGUAAGGAGGAGGAAGGUGGGGACGACGUCAAGUCAUCAUGGCCCUUACGCCUAGGGCUACACACGUGCUACAAUGGGGUGCACAAAGAGAAGCAAUACUGCGAAGUGGAGCCAAUCUUCAAAACGCCUCUCAGUUCGGAUUGUAGGCUGCAACUCGCCUGCAUGAAGCUGGAAUCGCUAGUAAUCGCAAAUCAGCCAUGUUGCGGUGAAUACGUUCCCGGGUCUUGUACUCACCGCCCGUCACACCAUGGGAGUUGUGUUUGCCUUAAGUCAGGAUGCUAAAUUGGCUACUGCCCACGGCACACACAGCGACUGGGGUGAAGUCGUAACAAGGUAACCGUAGGUGAACCUGCGGUUGGAUCACCU